ACAAUGGGAAUUUUAUAGCAUUCAGUGGCAGCCAGAUGAUUUGUAAUAGAGUCCUCAGUAAACUCUGGCAACUGGCGAAUUUUAUGUUAUGACCAUCCAAUUUAGGAACCCUUAGUAUUUACUCAGUGAUAUAAGUUUAUAUAAUUAUGCAUUGGCCACCCAUAAGAAUCAAAGACUUAUAAGAAGAGGAGCCUCAAGUCCCAUUCAUGUUUGACAAGUUUUAUUUUGAGAAUCACUGCUUUAGAACUAUCUGAAUCAGUUUGUCCUUGAGUGAGAAUGGAUGAGAGAACAUGUGGAGCUCCUGACAUAGUAGCUGAGGAAAAAUGAUCACUACCACAGUGUGCUACUCUGAUGCUUCAAAAAGAUCAAGACACAAUGCUAAAGCCUGAUCAAAAGAAUACAUUGUACCUCUGGGGAAAUGGGAUUUGCCUCUGCUUCGACACACUGUGACAACCCGAUUUUGCAGAUCAGCAUCGUGCAAAGAUCUGUUUAUACAUUCACAAGACUACCACCGAUUAAUGAACACGACAUUUUUCUCAGGCUACACCGUUACCGGCCAGUUCCAAGAAAGAUGAUAAAUAUUGUAUUUUCCUUUUCUACCACUCUUUAGGAUUCUUGGACAAAAAUCUAAGAAGGGAACAAUUCCUUUAAAAGAGACACCUUGAGGCUCUAAUAAAACAAAGGUUUCUACUUAACCUCAAGCAGCAAAGAUUAAACUGCAAACUAUUUGACACCAAAGUUAUUAGAAUUGUACAAAAAAAUAAUAAAUUUAUCUUAAAUGCCAGAGUAUAAUUUUUUAAAAGCCAACCCCAUGAUGAACCAAAAUGUAUCCAUUCAUUAAUCCACUUACUCAAGAAAGACUUAUGCUAGAUGCCAGAGAUACAAUGAUGAGCCUUGGUCAAAAGGAAAAAAAAAUGUUUUUUUUUGUUUUUGCAAAAGUUACUUACAAGUAUUAAGUCAUAGAUACUCCUGAUAAGAGGCAAAUAUGCUUCUUGUUUUUUCACCUCUUGGGAGAGCUUUAUAUGUAGUCUUAUCUGAAUUUACUCCAAUAAUUUAAUAUUUGUAAAAUGGAUUCAAUAUAGAGCCUUAUAUUGAUACUGUGCUAUCAGUUUUUAGAAAUAAAAUGAACAAGGCAGCAAGCUGAAAGAAAUGCUUCUAUUGGUUGUUUACUGAAAAGUAGUUAGUUUUCAGCAUCUCUUAAGAAAGAAUGCAACUUGCUUAGUCCAGUCAGAGAGGAAAAUUCUAUACACAAAAUCCAUCAAAGCCAUUGUGAGAGGACUUGUUUGCUUGGAGACUGCAGGGUUGUUCUUUGAAUAGCCUCCUUCAGGAAGCUGUACAUUUCAUUAGUUAAGAUUCUGCUUUUGAGGGAAGAGUAAUCCAGUCAUCUACAGUCUCUAAAAUUAUGUCCAAUUAACCACUGGUAAGCAUUAACUAAGAAGAAAGAUUUGCUGUCAAAAUUCACUCUAUUAAAAUUGGAAUUGAAAACUGUAACAAUAAAAACUCUAAGCUUUCUUAGAGCCAUGUUGUAUUCUUUGAAAGCACCAGAAAAUCUGUUCAGAAUCCUAGUGUAGGAAGGCUGAGCUUUUUCUCUGGAGGAGAGCACAUUCAUGAGUGUUGGCUGAGGGCUCGCUCAGUCUGAGAGUAGGUCACAGGGUGAAAUGGAGAUUAGCUCAGCACUCAUUCUGCUGGCUCUGUUGGCAUUGAGAUUUUAUUUUCCUUACUCAUAGAUUCUGUGGGGGGAAUUGAGGGUGAUAUUCAGAUGAGUUGAAUGCCAAGUAUUUGGAAAACCAUGAGAGUUCAACAGUUUCUAAGAGCCCCAAUCAUUCUGAGCAUUUUGAUUGUGCCAGUAAUUGUAAAUCUCAUUUUAGCAGCCUGCACACAGAGGCUCCACAGAAGACAAUGAUUCCUCAGAAAAGCUCUAUUUGUAUUACCUCUACUGAAUGAACAUGGGGUUUGCUAGAUUAUUUUAUUCUUCUCUCAAAUUUAAACUUAAACCCACUGAGUGAAUCUUCUAAAACUUGUAAUCUGGCAAAAACUUUGAAUCUGCAAUUUAGCAAAGACUUUGAAUAUGUUGAUGCAUAAUAUAGAACCAUCUUAUAGGCACUAAUUUGAACAGAAAAUGUAAGUGUAACACUAAGGGAAACCUAUAUGAAGAUCCUGUGAGCAGGUGAGAUUAAAAAAAAUAAUGUUGAGACAGAUUUUUUUUUUAAUACUGGUCAACUAUUGCUAUUAGGGCAAUUUGGGUUGCAAGUGCAGACAUCUAAAACAAAUUAGUUUAAGCAAAAAAGCAAUUGAUUAUGGGUCCAGCCAUGGCUGGAUCCAGGGCCUCAACAAUAUUGUUAGCAAUCAGUCUCUCUUACAUCUUGCUGCCUCAUUCCCCAUCUCUGCUCUGCUUUCUUCUAUGUCAACUUCAUUCUCAGGCAAGGCAUUAUUUUCAUUGUUUUGGAAAGACAGUCUUCUGUAACUCUAUGUCUAAUUCGAACCAGCUAGUAACCUUAAGGAAAAAGAUUGCCUUCUUCCCAGUGGUUUUAGGAAAAGCCAUCCAUAGGAAUGACAUUGAUUGGCUUGGCUGGGAGGGGGAUCAGGUCUGCAUCUCAGGAAACAAGACUCAUAUGUAAUUAUAACAUGUUGGGGGUGCCUCCCAGAAUGCUGAAUUGUAUGUGGUUAGCAAAAGAAGAGGGAAAGGUUGUCAAUUGGGUAAAUGUAACAGGUUGUAAGAAUUAAAGUUCAAGUUAUGUCUAGGGUCAAGAUUUAAUUGCAAUCAUUUGUGUGGAAAUAAAGUAGAUCAGAAAUAGUCUCAACCAUUUUCAUGGAGAAAUGCAGCAUAAUUCCUAUACAACUGUAGCUCCAGUAGUCUGUCUGCAACUCUGGAGCAAAACAGCCACUCUAAAAAUUUGCCACAUCUUGGAGUCUUAGAGUCUGGCAUGCUUCCUCCUGUAAUACCCAACCAUUAUGGUGCUUCUGUUUCUUCUGUUUUUGUAGCUACUAACUCAUUUCUGCUCUUCAUUUGUUCAUAGUUUCUAUUUAUCAUUCUCUCUUUAUGUGUUUGUCAUCUUCUGUACUACUAUUUUUGUUUUAUAUUGUAUUUAUGCUUUCCACAUAUAUUCUUUCUUCUUUUUUCUUUGGAGUUUCUCUGUGGUCCUUCGAGCAAUUUUUUAGUUGAAUAGCUCAUUAAUUUUUCAUCUUUCUUGUUUUGUAAUAUAUGCAAUUAAGGCUAUAAAUUGCCUUCUAAGUAUUGCAUUAGCUGUAUCCCACAAGUUUUGACAUGCAGUGCUUUCUGUGUCAUCCAGUUCUAAAUAUUUUGUAAUUCUCAUUAAAAUUUUAUUCUGUGACUU